AACGAACGCUGGCGGCAUGCCUAACACAUGCAAGUCGAACGAGACCUUCGGGUCUAGUGGCGCACGGGUGCGUAACGCGUGGGAACCUGCCUUUAGGUUCGGAAUAACUCAGAGAAAUUUGAGCUAAUACCGGAUGAUGUCUUCGGACCAAAGAUUUAUCGCCUUUAGAUGGGCCCGCGUUGGAUUAGCUAGUUGGUGGGGUAAAGGCCUACCAAGGCGACGAUCCAUAGCUGGUCUGAGAGGAUGAUCAGCCACACUGGGACUGAGACACGGCCCAGACUCCUACGGGAGGCAGCAGUGGGGAAUAUUGGACAAUGGGCGAAAGCCUGAUCCAGCAAUGCCGCGUGAGUGAUGAAGGCCUUAGGGAUGUAAAGCUCUUUUACCCGAGAUGAUAAUGACAGUAUCGGGAGAAUAAGCUCCGGCUAACUCCGUG
rnacentral:rRNA from 1 species